rnacentral:lncRNA from 1 species
AAGAUGAGUUCCAUGGCAGUAGGAGAUAGGCCUCAUGUUGUAUGUCUUCCAGUUCCACUUCAAAGCCAUAUCAAGGCAAUGCUUAAGUUAGCAAAACUCUUCCACCAUAGAGGUUUUCAUGUGACCUUUGUCAACACAGAGUUCAACCACAAGCGCUUUCUUCAAUCUCUUGGACCCAACUCCCUUGAUGGCUUGCCUGAUUUUCGAUUCGAAACCUUCCCAGACGGUCUUCCAGUCAGUUCAGAUGAGGAUACUUCCCAGGACAUCUUUUUGCUUUUUAAUUCAAUGCGCGAUAACUUCUUGCCUCUGUUUCUUAACCUCCUAAAAGAACUCAAUGACAGAGCAGCUUCCGGCAAUACCAACCCUCCAGUGUCUUGUAUUGUUUCUGAUGGUUUGAUGCCGUUCCCCAUCACAGCUGCCGAAGAACUUGGAAUUCCUAUUGCAAUGUUCUUUACUAUUUCUGCAGGCGGCUUCAUGGGCUCUAAACAAUAUCCUGCUUUGGUGGAGAAAGGACUUACACCACUCAAAGGUGAAAGAAACUAAUAUUGAAGCACUUGUUUACAUUUAUGAUUCUAUAUAUUGCUUGUUUCUAAAGAAUAGAUUUGGGUGCCUGAUCAAAGCUUAAUUUUUAGAUCAGAGCUAUUUCACAAAUGGCUUUUUGGACAAGGUGAUUGAUUGGAUUCCAGGAAUGAAAGGUAUCCAUUUACGGAAACUUCCGACAGUGUUUCACAUUACAAAUCCAGACAACAUCUUUUUUAAGCUCACAGUGGAAACAAUGGAUAGAGUAGAUAAAGCUUCAGCUGUUGUUCUUCUUACAUUUGAUGCAUUGGAACAAGAGAUUCUGGACGCUCUCUCAUCUAUGCUUAUCCCACCUAUUUAUACAAUUGGUCCUAUUGAAUUACUACUUGUCAAUCAGAUACCAGAAGACCCUUUGAAGUCUGUUGGCUAUAUUCUAUGGAAAGAAGAAACUGAGUGCCUCCAAUGGCUAAAUUCUAAAGAGCCAAACUCGGUUGUUUAUGUGAAUUUUGGCAGUCUAGCGGUCAUGACACCUGAACUUGUUGUUGAGUUUGGCUGGGGACUUGCAAAUACAAAUUAUCCCUUCUUGUGGGUAAUUAGGCCUGAUUUCGUUGUUGGUGAAUCGGCGAUUUUUCCACCUGAGUUUGUGGCUGAAACCAAGGGAAGAGGUGUAAUAGUAAAUUGGUGCCCACAAGAGCAAGUCCUUAACCACCCAUCAGUUGGAGGGUUUUUGACACACAGCGGCUGGAAUUCAACCAUUGAGAGUUUGUCUGCCGGAGUGCCUAUGAUCUGUUGGCCACUCUUCGCGGACCAGCCGACAAACAGCUGGUGUACUUGCAAUCAAUGGGGCAGUGGCAUGGAGAUGGAUAAGAAUGUCAAGAGAGAGGAAGUGGAGAAGAUUGUUAGAGAGUUAAUGGAGGGAGAGAAGGGUAAGAAAAUGAAAAGUAAGGCCAUUGAGUGGAAGAAGCUAGCAGAAGAAGCAACUGGUCCACAAGGUUCUUCAUCCACAAACUUGAACAAUUUAGUGAAUCAAAUGCUAUUAAGAAAAAUCUAGAUCUUAUAUCCAUAAGAAUGUGUUAAUUAAUUAAGUGUAUGUUAUUGCUGGUCUUAAUUUAGAACUAUAAAGAUGUCUUGCAAGAUCUGCAUUUGCAGUCCCUCCCUCUUUACCAUCUAUCUAUAAUUUCGUUUUGCUCAUGAACCAAUGCUUAGCUUGGUUCUUCUUUCUUUCUCAAUUUAAUAUUGAUAAACCAGAGAAAACUAAGAUUCUGACCAAAAAAAAAU